AGUGAACGCUGGCGGUAGGCCUAACACAUGCAAGUCGAACGGCAGCACAGUAAGAUCUUGCUCUUACGGGUGGCGAGUGGCGGACGGGUGAGGAAUACAUCGGAAUCUACUUUUUCGUGGGGGAUAACGUAGGGAAACUUACGCUAAUACCGCAUACGACCUACGGGUGAAAGCAGGGGAUCUUCGGACCUUGCGCGAUUGAAUGAGCCGAUGUCGGAUUAGCUAGUUGGCGGGGUAAAGGCCCACCAAGUCGACGAUCCGUAGCUGGUCUGAGAGGAUGGUAAGCCACACUGGAACUGAGACACGGUCCAGACUCCUACGGGAGGCAGCAGUGGGGAAUAUUGGACAAUGGGCGCAAGCCUGAUCCAGCCAUACCGCGUGGGUGAAGAAGGCCUUCGGGUUGUAAAGCCCUUUUGUUGGGAAAGAAAAGCAGCAGGUUAAUACCCCGCUGUUCUGACGGUACCCAAAGAAUAAGCACCGGCUAACUUCGUG
rnacentral:rRNA from 1 species